CUCCGUAGGUGAACCUGCGGAGGGAUCAUUACACAAAUAUGAAGGCGGGCUGGAACCUCUCGGGGUUACAGCCUUGCCGAAUUAUUCACCCUUGUCUUUUGCGUACUUCUUGUUUCCUUGGUGGGUUCGCCCACCACUAGGACAAACAUAAACCUUUUGUAAUUGCAAUCAGCGUCAGUAACAAAUUAAUAAUUACAACUUUCAACAACGGAUCUCUUGGUUCUGGCAUCGAUGAAGAACGCAGCGAAAUGCGAUAAGUAGUGUGAAUUGCAGAAUUCAGUGAAUCAUCGAAUCUUUGAACGCACAUUGCGCCCUUUGGUAUUCCAAAGGGCAUGCCUGUUCGAGCGUCAUUUGUACCCUCAAGCUUUGCUUGGUGUUGGGCGUCUUGUCUCUAGCUUUGCUGGAGACUCGCCUUAAAGUAAUUGGCAGCCGGCCUACUGGUUUCGGAGCGCAGCACAAGUCGCACUCUCUAUCAGCAAAGGUCUAGCAUCCAUUAAGCCUUUUUUUCAACUUUUGACCUCGGAUCAGGUAGGGAUACCCGCUGAACU
rnacentral:rRNA from 1 species